rnacentral:rRNA from 1 species
GCCGGCAUCGAGCUGCGCACAGCGCCGUGCGACUUCCGGUUCCCGACCCAGAACCAGACGCGCCACUGCUACGUGCGCUACAUCGAGUACCACAGGUGCAUCAAGGCCAAGGAGGGCGACACGUCGGACUGCGGCAAGUUCCAGCGCUACUACACAUCUCUCUGCUCCUCUGCAACACCCCGCCAUUGA